UUGGGAAUGAAAACCUGCAGACGCUUGGCUCUCCACAGCAGCAGUUUGACACCCGUGCUUUAGUCAGGGGACAAUUUUAUGAUUGGGGGUUUAUUUUAUGAAUCGGUCUUUUACAUUUGUGGAAUGCACCGGGCAGCAUUGGUGGCUCAUAAAUGGCAUUGAGAGGUGUUUGAGCAGAAGCAGUCCUCAUCACCGGCACCAAGACAGCAACAGCGAUCAGCCAGAGAAGUGGACGGGUGUGUGAGAAAAAGUUCAACAAUAUCAGCCUUCACGUGUCUUCUCCCUAGGGAAGAUGAUUCUGUCGCCGGGGAUCGGUGGAGUCGAGACGACGACGACGGCGGCGGAAACAGAGAGGAGACGCUCGAAUCAGCGCACAAAGAAAGAAAAAAGAAAAUAAAGAAAGACAUAUGAAAGCACUGUGUAUCAGCAAAUAUGCAUAAUUCUCAUUUCAUCGCUGUACAGCCAGUCCACGACUUUCCCCGCUUUGGGAUCCACGUGGGGACAAAGAAAGGCCAUGUGGGGAAACAGUGAGUCGAGGGGCUCGGGGGUCCGGAGCCCACCUGGAGGAAAAACGUCCAAGGAGAGUCCGAGGAGAAACUCCAACUUAAUUUUUCUUUCUUUCCGCUGUUUCUCCUGCGUUCGUCAGAUGUUUGUGCUCGGCGCUCAAGCUGCGAAACCCCUGCGCCGAUGCCAAAACGACGACAUCGGACAGAAAAACCCAGCUGAUUAAAACUCAGAGGAUAUUGCUUUGAGGUUCUGCGGCGGGGCAACCCCCUCUGUUUUUAUUUAUUUACUUAUUUAUUUUUUUUGGAAAGGAGGGGUUUACAGAACAUUUGGUUUUACAGAAUGAGCCGUCUCUUCUGGUUUCGGACAGGGAAGCCUUUCAGAAUGGCCGCCUGUCAAGCAGGAGAUGGGACGGCGGGCGUGGCGGGUGAAGGGCAUGACGGGAAGAGAGAGAGAGAGAUGACGUCGACGGCGAAAAGGGGGAGAAUUUGUUUUCCGAUACCUCGGCGAAUGCACGUUUUAAAUAUUUGUCAUUUUCCGGCCUUGCUGACGCGUUGAACGUGUGCGCAGGAUGCUACAACGGUAUAUUUCAGGAGCACUUAACGUCUUAUUUACACCAUAGAUCAUCUAAUGUAUUCCUCUUUCACGACAUAUAAUCCAAACCGUGACCAAACGAGAGACUGACAGACUCGCCUUAGCCUGAACAACACAUCACAGACCAGGUCAAAGCAAAAAAAGGGGAAGUGGCGCAUGAUUCUCGGUACUUUUUUUUUUUUUUUUCCCUCAGAGUGCAAAUGUUAUUGAAAGCUACAUUGCCCAAAAAAA